UAGGGAAUCUUCGGCAAUGGGGGGAACCCUGACCGAGCAACGCCGCGUGAAUGAAGAAGGGUUUCGGAGCGGAAAGCGCUGUUGGUAAGGAAGAACGAGUGUGAGAAUGGAAAGUUCAUACUGUGACGGUACUUAACCAGAAAGGGAGGGCUAACUACGUGCCAGCAGCCGCGGUAAUACGUAGGUCCCGAGCGGUGUCCGGAUUUAUUGGGCGUAAAGCGAGCGCAGGCGGUUAGAUAAGUCUGAAGUUAAAGGCAGUGGCUCAACCAUUGUAGGCUUUGGAAACUGUUUAACUUGAGUGCAGAAGGGGAGAGUGGAAUUCCAUGUGUAGCGUUGAAAUGCGUAGCUAUAUGGAGGAACACCGGUGGCGAAAGCGGCUCUCUGGUCUGUAACUGACGCUGAGGCUCGAAAGCGUGGGGAGCGAACAGG
rnacentral:rRNA from 1 species